rnacentral:rRNA from 1 species
GAUGAACGCUGGCGGCGUGCCUAAUACAUGCAAGUCGAGCGCAGCGGGGACGGGUGAGUAACACGUGGAUAACCUCCUAUAAGACUGGCUACCUUCUGGCAACCGGAGCUACACCGUAUACUUAUAGAUGGAUCCGCGCUGCAUUAGCUAGUUGGUAAGGUAACGGCUUACCAAGGCAACGAUGCAUAGCCGACCUGAGAGGGGGAUCGGCCACACUGGAACUGAGACACGGUCCAGACUCCUACGGGAGGCAGAAGUAGGGAAUCGUCCGCAAUGGGCGAAAGCCUGACGGAGCAACGCCGCGUGAGUGAUGAAGGUCUUCGGAUCGUAAAACUCUGUUAUUAGGGAAGCGGGACCGAAUCAGAAAGCAACGGCUAACUCCGUGCCAGCAGCCGCGGUAAUUC